GGUGCCAUCUUCUAAAUGGUCAGGAAACUGCCCUUUCAAGGCAGUAAUCUGGGUUCAAACCCCAGUGGCACUA
rnacentral:tRNA from 1 species